GAUGAACGCUGGCGGCGUGCCUAAUACAUGCAAGUCGAGCGAACACACGAGCAGCUUGCUCCCCUCCUGUUGGCGGCUGACGGGCGGGUAACACGUGUAUCACCUACCUCUAUGACUGGGGUAACUUCGUCAAACCGGAGCCACUACUGCAUCAUACAAUCAACCGCAGAGCUCAAUAGUGAAAGGCGGCUUUGCUGUCACUUAUAGAUGGAUCCGCGCCGCAUUAGCUAGUGGGUAAGGUAACGGCUUACCAAGGCAACGAUGCGUAGCCGGCCUGAGAGGGUGAGCGGCCACACUGGAACUGAGACACGGUCCAGACUCCUACGGGAGGCAGCAGUGGGGAAUCUUCCGCAAUGGGCGGAAGCCUGACGGAGCAACGCCGCGUGAGUGAAGAAGGUCUUCGGAUCGUAAACCCCUGUUGUUGGGGAAGAACAGAUGUGUAGGUAUCUUUGCACGUCUUGACGGUACCUAAUGAAAAAGCCACGGCUAACUACGUG
rnacentral:rRNA from 1 species